UAUUACCUUGUUCAGAACUUAAAGAGAAAUCUUGAGUUUAUGGACUUCAGGGGGAGUAUGGUCACAAGGCUGAAACUUAAAGGAAUUGACGGAAGGGCACACCAGGAGUGGAGCCUGCGGCUUAAUUUGACUCAACACGGGAAAACUUACCAAGACCGAACAGUAGAAGGAAUGACAGAUUAAGAGUUCUUUCAUGAUUUAUUGGGUAGUGGUGCAUGGCCGUUCUUAGUUGGUGGAGUGAUUUGUCAGGUUAAUUCCGGUAACGAACGAGACUGAAACCUAUUAAUUAGUUUUCUGCCUAUAAGACAGAAAUGUUCGCAAGAACAGGUGCGUAAGUACCACUUCUUAAAGGGACACAUUUCAAUUGUC
rnacentral:rRNA from 1 species